CAUUCUUAAUUUUAAUGUAGACAGUUGGCUUUUGUUAGGAAGUUUUUGUUUUGUUUUGUUUUUAAGGGAAAAUACUAAAGAGCUUCAAGAGUGGGAGGGACUCUAGUGGAGAAUCUCAGGAUUGAUACUUUUGGAUUUCUAGGCUAGUUUAAGAAACUUUGAUUUUCUUCUGUUAGCUUCAUAGUUUUUUGUUUUUUGUUUUGUUUUUUUUUUUCUCUCAUAUUGAGACCACUAAUGAAACUAGAGUUCUAACUGGUCUACCCUGGUGUAAGUAGACUGUUCUGAGCCCUCAACCCUGAUUCUCAGUGGUUGCUUCUGGGCUGUGCUGGUUGCUGACUAUUAUAUGUUACUUAUAAACUGUCUGAAAUGCACCUUUGUGGGGGAGAACAACUUUUAUUUUUAAUUAUAAUGAGCCAGUUUUCUAAGCUUUAUCUAUUAAAGUAAAAUUAAUCUACUAAUAUGUGGUCCGAUUUUCACAAAAGUAUGUCAACUCUUUUUUUUUUGUGAGAAUAUAUGCUAUUCCUUUGACUUUUGUAACAUUUAAAAAAUCCAUGAUAUACUAUGACUUCCAGGUCUUUCAGGUCUUGAGUGCCCACUAAUGAGUCUGAACACACUAAUAUGUAUCCAAUCUCAGCUGAAUAAAGGGAGAGCACUUGCUGGUUU
rnacentral:lncRNA from 1 species